CGUGUAGGCGGCGGAUUUAGUUAGGCGUGAAAGCCCCGGGCUCAACCUGGGAACUGCGCUUAAUACUGAUCUGCUAGAGUCCGGGAGAGGCGAGUGGAAUAUCCAGUGUAGAGGUGAAAUUCGUAGAUAUUGGAUGGAACACCAGUGGCGAAGGCGGCUCGCUGGACCGGAACUGACGCUGAGGCGCGAAAGCGUGGGGAGCAAACA
rnacentral:rRNA from 1 species